AGAACUUAAAGUAUAAUAACAAUAAUAAAAGAAACUAGCAUCCCUCUUUCCAAGCAAACCAUAAGAUUUAAAAAUAUUUUAACCUUCCUCUGCUUUUCUGUGUAGGAGCUGUCACAAGGAAAUGCACUGACCUACCUUUCAGAUAAUAGAUCAUAAGACCCUAUUUCCGGGGGAGUUCUGCCUUAUAUCUGGCAGGAUGAAAUGCUACACAGGGAGGCCAAGAAGGAUCUGAACAGGUAAUUGAAGAUUCAUAUGAAGUUGCAAGAAAUAUUACAGAGAAAGUCUGUGUACUCUUCAUUCAGUUUCUCUCAAUGACAAGUAACAUCCUGCAUAAUAAUAUCACGAAAAGAAACUGACAUUGAUAUACUCCAUCAACCUUACUCAGAUUUCUGCAGUUUUACAUGUAUUCAUUUAUUCACGUGCAUUCUUGCGUGUUUAGUUCUACGCAACUGCAUCACAGGUGACCAGCACCACAGUCAAGAACAGUUCCAUCACUAGGAUCUCUUCUGCCACUCUUUCAUUAACAGUCCCCCACCCAAUCCCUUGGCAACCAACCACUACUCUGUUCUCCAUUUUUAAAAUUUUGUAAUUUUAAGAAUGCUAUAUAAUCACAAUCAUACCAUACCUAAGCUUUUGGACUGGCUUUUAUCACUCAGAAUAAUUCCCUUGAGAUCCAUUCAAGUUGUUGAAUGUAUAAAUAAUCUAUCACUUUUGAUGGCUGAGUAAUAUUCCAGGGUAUUGAGAGACCAUUCUUUAACUCUUCACUCAUUGAAGAACAUUUGAGUUAUUGUUAUUUCUGGUUUGGGG
rnacentral:lncRNA from 10 species